UAAAAGCAACAUCCACGCUAGCAUUUGUUUUGUUUUCUAGCAGUGUUUGUGGAAACUGAUUGAACCUGAAUUCAAAAGCUGUUUUUGUUGUCAUUGUCUUCACAGCAAGUUCAGGAUAUUGCCAGAGGAAGAGUAAAGGCGGGAAGGCCAGCUGUGCCUCAGUGCCAAUGGUUCCCACAAGCACCCGUUUUGUUGAAGGUUCUGCAGCAGCCAAUGGGGGACUGACUAUCCGUCACCCUGUCACAGGGGCCCAGUAUGUUCAGAUACAGCUCCUGCAGGAUGACCCCGCCAGUGAAGGGGACCUAGCCUUCCAGCUGAGCUCCCAGCCUUCCAGCUGAGCUCCCAGCCUUCCAGCUGAGCUCCCAGCCUUCCAGCUGAGCUCCUAGCCUUCCAGCUGAGCUCCCAGCCUUCCAGCUCCCAUUCCCAGCUGACCGUGGACCUGCCAGUCAACAUCCUACAGGAACCUCCUGCUAUGACGGAGGAAGACAAUGGCUUGGACAACUCCCAGUUUACAGGAAGCACCAUCAACCUGCAGGACCUGGAGUGAGAGGGAGGGGGUAUGAAAAAGUUGUGUACAUCUGGGUUGGGAUGAAGUGGAAGCCAGAACCAAAUGCGCCUUGGGAAGAAUUGAAUGAUAAAUUAAAUGAACAUUUACAUUUUGGGACUUUUUUUCUUCUCACUAUUUACUGUAUUUCUGAAAUCUUGUUUGUACCACAAUCAUGAUUGCGAGAAAGACACGCUGUCUGUCUUUUUAAAGAGAGACUGUCGUUUUGCACAUCCAGUAGGUCCCUCGUGUCUCUUGUCAAACUGUGACGUCUUGUCAGUCUCAGCUACGUUGCCUUGUUCUAGACACUCAUACACUGUGCUGUUGUCAGAGCUUCUGUCUAAUAAUGCCUUACAGACAUGAUGUACUAUACUCAUCCAUUUAGCAGACGCUUUCUGUUUGUUAGACUUAUGUAGCUUUAACUUUUUGGUGGUGGGCAGGGUAAGAUAUAUUUUUCUACAGCUGUGUCAUAUGAGCUACGUAGGAAUGAGACGUAUGCGUUCCAUGUUCAAAAUGUUGCCGGUCCACUUGUUUAUAAUAUCUGUAAUGCUUAUCUAUAUGUGACAACUUCCAUCUAGUUAUUUAUUAGCCUUGUUUUACAAAAUAGCUGAAUCCAAUC